rnacentral:rRNA from 1 species
UUGCGGUGAGGGUCCACCCGUUCCCAUUCCGAACACGGCAGUUAAGCUCACCUGCGCCUACGAUACUUGGCUGGCAACGGCCCGGGAAAAUUGGUAAUGCCGACA